rnacentral:misc_RNA from 1 species
GAUGAAGAACGUAGCGAAAUGCGAUAAGUAAUGUGAAUUGCAGAAUUCAGUGAAUCAUCGAAUCUUUGAACGCACAUUGCGCCCCUUGGUAUUCCGAGGGGCAUGCCUGUUCGAGCGUCAUUUUGACCACUCCCGCUUGCGGGGUCUUGGGCCUUCGCCUCUGGGCGGGCCUUAAAAUCAGUGGCGGUGCCGUCCGGCUCUAAGCGUAGUAAAUCUCCUCGCUAUAGGGUUCCGGAGGGAUGCUGGCCAACAACCCCCAACUUUUAAGGUUGACCUCAAAUCAGGUAGGACUACCCGCUGAACUUAAGCAUAUCAAUAAGCGGAGGA